GAUGAAGAACGUAGUGAAAUGCGAUAAGUAAUGUGAAUUGCAGAAUCUCGUGAAUCAUCGAAUCUUUGAACGCACAUUGCGCCCGCCAGCACUCUGGCGGGCAUGCCUGUUCGAGCGUCAUUUCAACCAUCAAGCCCCAGGCUUGCGUUGGAGCCCUGCGGCUGCCGCAGCCUCCUAAAAGCAGUGGCGGGCUCGCUAUCACACCGAGUGCAGUAGAUUACUCUUCGCUCAGGGCGUGCAGCGGGUUCCGGCCGUGAAACCCCCUACUUUUAAAAGUUGACCUCGGAUCAGGUAGGAAUACCCGCUGAACUUAAGCAUAUCAAUAAGCGGAGGA
rnacentral:misc_RNA from 1 species